UACGGAGGGGGCUAGCGUUGUUCGGAAUUACUGGGCGUAAAGGGCGCGUAGGCGGCUUAUCAAGUCAGGCGUGAAAUUCCCGGGCUCAACCUGGGGGCUGCGCUUGAUACUGAUGAGCUUGAAUGCGGGAGAGGAUAGUGGAAUUCCCAGUGUAGAGGUGAAAUUCGUAGAUAUUGGGAAGAACACCGGUGGCGAAGGCGGCUAUCUGGCCCGUAAUUGACGCUGAGACGCGAAAGCGUGGGGAGCGAACAGG
rnacentral:rRNA from 1 species